CUUCUCUCUUCUACUCUUCCAGCUGUGGCGCCGCAGCGCGCUCGUUCGUGCUCGCCCCGACGCCCUCCCCUGGUAGCUUCCACAUUUGUUGUGCUCGCACGAAGCCCCACCGUCCUCCCGCGCGUCGUCGUAGAGCUCCAACCAGAACCAAAAAAAGCUGCAAUCGGCGCAUCGCCGUCGAUGCUGAGCGGAAGCGGCAGCCGAGCGUGCGUGCUACCACGGGGCGUGGAAAAGCUGCAUCCGGCUGACGGGGAAGCUGCUACCGGCACUCGCAGAAGCUGCGAUGACGACGACCCGCAAGAUGGCGACGUGCUGGAACCGGGGAAGCGGGAUGCUGGAACCAGCCAAGUUUUUUGCUGCCACCGGUGAACCAACAAAUGUUGGGUGUGGGUGCCCAGGUGAUGAGUUUGGCUGGGACCGGCGGUGAGUUUUUUCUUCGACCAGCAGCUUUUUUUUGCUGGAUCAACAUUUUUAUUUUGGUGCAACGCUCCCUGGAAGAGCUGCAUCCAAACGGCAGCAGGGCGGAGCCAACAAUGGUGGAUCUGUGGCCAGUGGCGUCUUGCAGCAACACCGGCGGUGGUGCGUGAUCGCGGGAACAGGAGGCAGCAGUGUCGCUGCAUCACGGUCCGGGCGACAAGUUGGGUGCGCCGCGAGAUGCAUGAAAGUAGAGGGGAAUUUUUCAGUGAGAUGCGCAAGGUGGAAGUGUUAGUUAGGAAGAAUGAGAUUGUACGAAUCGAUAAUCAUUGAUCGUGUGCAUGGUGCACAUAUAUAGGUAUAAGGUGGAUCGGCCUCUACUUGUCUCCUAAGAUGUACAAAUAUACGAGGGGAGAGAGAGAUACAACGGUAUAAAUACAGACCCAAGUCCUAUA